rnacentral:rRNA from 1 species
AUUAGAUAAAAAACCAAUGCCUUCGGGCUCUCUGGUGAUUCAUGAUAACUUUACGAAUCGCAUGGCCUUGCGCUGGCGAUGGUUCAUUCAAAUUUCUGCCCUAUCAACUUUCGAUGGUAGGAUAGUGGCCUACCAUAGUUGUAACGGGUAACGGGGAAUUAGGGUUCGAUUCCGGAGAGGGAGCCUGAGAAACGGCUACCACAUCCAAGGAAGGCAGCAGGCGCGCAAAUUACCCAAUCCCGACACGGGGAGGUAGUGACAAUAAAUACUGAUACAGGGGCCUUUUGGUUCUUGUAAUUAGAAUGAGUACAAUUUAAAUCCUUUAACGAGGAACAAUUGGAGGGCAAGUCUGGUGCCAGCAGCCGCGGUAAUUCCAGCUCCAAUAGCGUAUAUUAAAGUUGUUGCAGUUAAAAAGCUCGUAGUUGAAUUUUGGGUUUGGGUGACCGGUCUGCGGCUACCGCAUGUACUGGAAACCCCGGAUCUUUCCUUCUGGAGAACCGCAUGCCCUUUACUGGG